GAGGAUAUAGCUCAGCGGUUUAGAGCUUUCGACUGCAGAUCGAAGGGUCCCCGGUUCGAUUCCGGGUGUCCUCU
rnacentral:tRNA from 1 species